UACGUAGGUCCCGAGCGUUGUCCGGAUUUAUUGGGCGUAAAGCGAGCGCAGGCGGUUCUUUAAGUCUGAAGUUAAAGGCAGUGGCUUAACCAUUGUACGCUUUGGAAACUGGAGGACUUGAGUGCAGAAGGGGAGAGUGGAAUUCCAUGUGUAGCGGUGAAAUGCGUAGAUAUAUGGAGGAACACCGGUGGCGAAAGCGGCUCUCUGGUCUGUAACUGACGCUGAGGCUCGAAAGCGUGGGGAGCAAACCGG
rnacentral:rRNA from 1 species